rnacentral:rRNA from 1 species
GACGAACGCUGGCGGCGUGCUUAACACAUGCAAGUCGAGCGGUAAGGCCCUUUCGGGGGUACACGAGCGGCGAACGGGUGAGUAACACGUGGGUGACCUGCCCUCAGCUCUGGGAUAAGCCUGGGAAACUGGGUCUAAUACUGGAUAUGACUCCACGGUGCAUGUCGUGGGGUGGAAAGCCUUGUGCGGCUGAGGAUGGGCCCGCGGCCUAUCAGCUUGUUGGUGGGGGGAUGGCCUACCAA